GAUGGGGGGCAGGCUACACAUGCAAGUCGAGCGGCAGCGGAAAGUAGCUUGCUACUUUGCCGGCGAGCGGCGGACGGGUGAGUAAUGUCUGGGAAACUGCCUGAUGGAGGGGGAUAACUACUGGAAACGGUAGCUAAUACCGCAUAACGUCGCAAGACCAAAGAGGGGGACCUUCGGGCCUCUUGCCAUCAGAUGUGCCCAGAUGGGAUUAGCUAGUAGGUGGGGUAACGGCUCACCUAGGCGACGAUCCCUAGCUGGUCUGAGAGGAUGACCAGCCACACUGGAACUGAGACACGGUCCAGACUCCUACGGGAGGCAGCAGUGGGGAAUAUUGCACAAUGGGCGCAAGCCUGAUGCAGCCAUGCCGCGUGUAUGAAGAAGGCCUUCGGGUUGUAAAGUACUUUCAGCGGGGAGGAAGGCGUUGAGGUUAAUAACCUCAGCGAUUGACGUUACCCGCAGAAGAAGCACCGGCUAACUCCGUGCCAGCAGCCGCGGUAAUACGGAGGGUGCAAGCGUUAAUCGGAAUUACUGGGCGUAAAGCGCACGCAGGCGGUCUGUCAAGUCGGAUGUGAAAUCCCCGGGCUCAACCUGGGAACUGCAUUCGAAACUGGCAGGCUAGAGUCUUGUAGAGGGGGGUAGAAUUCCAGGUGUAGCGGUGAAAUGCGUAGAGAUCUGGAGGAAUACCGGUGGCGAAGGCGGCCCCCUGGACAAAGACUGACGCUCAGGUGCGAAAGCGUGGGGAGCAAACAGGAUUAGAUACCCUGGUAGUCCACGCCGUAAACGAUGUCGACUUGGAGGUUGUGCCCUUGAGGCGUGGCUUCCGGAGCUAACGCGUUAAGUCGACCGCCUGGGGAGUACGGCCGCAAGGUUAAAACUCAAAUGAAUUGACGGGGGGCCCGCACAAGCGGUGGAGCAUGUGGUUUAAUUCGAUGCAACGCGAGAACCUUACCUACUCUUGACAUCCAGAGAACUUAGCAGAGAUGCUUUGGUGCUCUUCGGGAACUCUGAGACAGUGCUGCAUGGCUGUCGUCAGCUCGUGUUGUGAAAUGUUGGGUUAAGUCCCGCAACGAGCGCACCUUAUCCUUUGUUGCCAGCGGUUAGGCCGGGACUCAAAGGAGACUGCCAGUGAUAACUGGAGGAUGGUGGGGAUGACGUCAGUUCAUCAUGGGCCUUACGAGUAGCUACCACGUCUACAUUGGCCGCAUACAAGGAGAAGCGAACUCUCUCGCC
rnacentral:rRNA from 1 species